GACGAACGCUGGCGGCGUGCCUAAUACAUGCAAGUCGAACGCUCUCGACCUUCGGGUCACAUGAGAGAGUGGCGAACGGGUGCGUAACACGUGAGAAACCUGCCCCGAAGACCGGGAAUAACUCGAGGAAACUCGAGCUAAUACCCGAUGCCCUCCUUGGACCGCAUGGUCCGUUGAGGAAAUGCUCCGGUGCUUCGGGAGGGUCUCGCGGCCUAUCAGCUUGUUGGUGAGGUAACGGCUCACCAAGGCAUCGACGGGUAGCUGGUCUGAGAGGACGAUCAGCCACACUGGGACUGAGACACGGCCCAGACUCCUACGGGAGGCAGCAGUAGGGAAUCUUGCGCAAUGGGCGAAAGCCUGACGCAGCAACGCCGCGUGGGGGAUGACAGCCUUCGGGUUGUAAACCCCUUUCAGCAGGGACGAAAAUGACGGUACCUGCAGAAGAAGGUCCGGCCAACUACGUG
rnacentral:rRNA from 1 species